rfam:Burkholderia phytofirmans PsJN chromosome 1, complete sequence.
CCGUUAAAAUCCCCCGGUCACUGGGGAGUAGCCUUCCUUCAUCCAUUGAAGGAGAGCGCGUCAACAUACUUGGCCUGCGGGUCAUGGCGCGUUCGACCGGGUCGGUUUGGCGAGACCAUUGACGCACUGCCUCGUUCUGGUCGGACGGGCGGCGGUGCGUCAUUGGUUUGUUAUCGACGUCCGACCGC